UGGGUCGUCAUUGGGGAGUAGCCGCUCUAACACAACAAUGUGUAGAGGUUUGCGUCAACAUACUUGAUCCCUUCUUGGAUCAUGGCGCCGACAGUUCUAUACCUGGCAAGACCUUUGACCGUAUGGCUUCCAGUAUGGCCGGGGAAGCCAUACGGUCAAUUGUCUAAAAAACCGGCCAGGAGAAAUAAUAAAGUGGAUGCUUUUCUCGUCUCUACCGGUAUUGUGGCAUU
rnacentral:sRNA from 1 species